GAUCCNGGCUCGGGAUGAACGCUGGCGGCGUGCUUAACACAUGCAAGUCGAGCGAAGCACUUUGCUUUGAUUUCUUCGGGAUGAAGAGCUUGGUGACUGAGCGGCGGACGGGUGAGUAACGCGUGGGUAACCUGCCUCAUACAGGGGGAUAACAGUUAGAAAUGACUGCUAAUACCGCAUAAGACCACAGCACCGCAUGGUGCAGGGGUAAAAACUCCGGUGGUAUGAGAUGGACCCGCG
rnacentral:rRNA from 1 species